AGCGAGACGUGGGAGGAGCCGCGAGGUCACCAGACCAUCUCCCGGCGCGGGUGGAAUUCCCGCGAUCGGUUUCAUUCCCUGCGCCGCCGAGAAAAGUGAGAUCCCGCGAGACUCCCAGGGUCUGGUCUCUCAAGAGCGCUGGAAACAUGGAGUCUGUCUCUGUUGCCCAAGCUGGAGUGUGUUGGCACCAUCUUGGUUUACUGCAACUUCCACCUCCCAGGCUCAAGUGAUUCUCGUGCCUCAGCCUCAAGGGCUGGAGUGCAGUGGCAUGAUCUCACCUCACUGAAAACCUCCACCUCCAGGGUUCAAGUGAUUCUGCUACCUCAGCCUCCCAAAUAGCUGGGACUAUAGGUGUGUGCCACCUUGCCCGCUAAUUUUUGUAUUUUUAGUAGAGACGGGGUUUCACCAUGCUAGCCAGGCUGGUCUCGAACUCCUGACCUCAGGUGAUCUACCCACCUCAGCCUUCCAAAGUGCUAGGUUUACAGGCAUGAGCCACCACACCUGGCCUGAGUUUCUUAUAUACUUUGGAUGUUAACCUCUUAUCAGAUAUGUGGUUUACAAAUAUUUUCUUCCAUUCCUUUGGUUGUCUCUUCACUCUGUUGAUUGUUUUUUUUUUUCCCGUGCAGAAGCUAUUUAGUUUGAUGUAAUUCCAUUUAUAUAUUUUUGUAACCUGUGCUUUUGGGGUCAUAUCCAAAAAACCCUUGCUAAUAUCAUGGAACAUUUCUCUUAAGUUUUCUUUUAGUAGUUUUUUAGUUUCAGGUCUUACAUUUAAGUUUGUAAUACAUUUUAAGUUGAUUUUUGAAUAUGGUGUGAGACAAAAUUCUGAUUUCAUUCUACUGUAUGUGGUUAUUCAGUUUUCUCAGCAACAUGUAUUGAAGAGACCGCCCUUUCCCCUUUGGCACUUUUGUCAAAAAUCAAUUGACCACAAAUGUAUUGAUUUAGUUCUGGGCUCUAUUUUGUUCUACUAGUAUGUCUGAUUUCACGUGUCAACCUCAAAAAUCUGAGACAGGUCUCAGUGAAUUCAGAAAGUUUAUUUUGCAAAGGUUGAAAAUGUGUGCCUGUGAUACAGCCUCAGGAGGUUGUGAUGAUGUGUGCCCAAGGUGGUUGGGGCAUAGCUUGUUUUUUUUUUGUUUUGUUUUGUUUUGUUUUGUUUUGAGACAGAGUCUUACUCUGUUGCCCAGGCUGGAGUGCAGUGGUGCAAUCUUGGUUCACCGCAACCUCCGCCUCCCAGGUUCAAGCAGUUCUCUGCCUCAGCCUCCUGAGUAGCUUGGAUUACAGGCGCCCACCACUUGCCUGGCUAAUUUUUGUAUUUUUAGUAGAGACACGGUUUCACCAUCUUUGCCAGGUUGGUCUUGAACUCCUGACCUCAUGAUCCACCCUCCUCGACCUCCCAAAGUGCUGGGAUUACAGGUAUGAGCCACCACAUCUGGCUGGUUUUAUACAUUUUAGGGAGACAUAAGACAUUAAUCAGUAUACGUAAGAUAUACAUUGGUUCCAUCAGGAAAGGUGGGACCACUCAAGCACAGAGGAUGCUUUCAGGUCACAGGUAGGUGAGAGACAAAUGGCUGCAUUUUUUUUGAGUUUCUGAUUAGCCUUUCCAAAGGAGGUAAUCAGAUAUGGCAUUUAUCUCAGUGAGCGGAGGGAUGACUUCAAAUCGAAUGGGAGGCAGGCUUGCCCUAAGCAGUUUUCAGCUUGACUUUUCCCUUUAGUUCAGUGAUUUUUGGGCUCUAAGAUUUAUUUUCCUUUCACAUUUCCCCCCUUUUCUUUUUUUAAAAUCUUUUGGAGAAAGCAUUUUAGAAGAAAGCAAGUCUCUGGUCUCAGGUUUUCUCUGAUCAUUCAUGGCUAGGAUGGUUUAUUCCUAGAUGUGUAGGUCCUGAGUUAAGAAAGCAAUUUUUAGCAGGUUAGAAUUCUCAUGUUCUAUGAAGAGAAAAUAGGGAGAAAAAGGGAGAAAAACAACAACAAACAAAAGAACAAUCCUGGAAAAUCAGUAUAGGCCACAUUACUCUGAAGUCUAUACAUCAGUAGGCAGGAAUGAAAGUGGCUUAUGUAAGUAAAUAGGUUGCUGUUACUUUCUUCUGAUGUUUAAGUUGUCCAGAUUCAGUUUGCAGGGCUUUAAGAAAUCACAUCUUAGUUUUCAGUGAUUUCAAAUUAGGAAAAUAAAAAAAGGAAAAGAAAGAAGAAAAGUAUUGAAAACAUUAUUUUGGAGACCAGUAACCAGGAAAAAUUAGAAUUCAGUUCAAACUGUUGAAAAUGAUAAAAAUUGAAAAACAGGCAAGACUAGAAUCUAAGAAUAGGUGUACUAUAGUUUUUGAAACAUAAUUUUUCUCUCUCUAGUUUCCCAUUUUUACUAAAGACAAGUCAUGAUGAGACCAAUUUGGCUUAGUAUACUUGACCAGCUUAUUUGUAUGAAGUGCAGCAAGAAAAAUGAUUUUUUCAAUAGGCUUUUAAAAUUGGCUUUGAUGGAACUUUGUUUCAUAGAAGGAAUCUCAGAUAAGACUUUUUAAAGCCAAGCACAGCCAUGGAUUUGUACCAUCAAAUACUCAUGAAUUGUCUGAAUUCUCCUCUUGAGGCUUUAAGAUAACUUGGGGCCCUGGGCCUGUCAGAAAAUGACAGUCUCUACUUACUACAGGUCAGGAACCCUGUUCAGGAACUGUAUAGAUGAGGUGUGGGCCAGUUUUCUCAAGGAGCUUUUAUUGGCUCUGUAAGUCAAGUUGGAUUCCUUAAAGGAAAGCACACCAUUCUGGUCAAAGCCUUGGUAAAAUAACCAGAGUCUCAAAUUGUGUCCUGUUACAAAUGAAAACAGAUUCUUACUCUGCUUAUGCAAUAACUAUAUUGCCAUAAGUUAAGAAUACUCACAAAUAGCUUCAAAAUUAUGGAGAAAUCAGGUAGAGAGAAACAGAUAUGUUCCAGAUUUUGUUCAUAGGAGUAUACUUAAUUGUUAAAAGCUGUCAAUAGCUCAAAAGAAAGGUUUCUUUGACUGAAAAAACAGCAACAUUUUAAGUAAAAAGUCAAAAAGAUUACUUCAGUCUUCUAUUAGUUCAGUCCAUGCAGUUAACUUUUAUUUUGCUUGAUAUUCAUGAACAUUUCAGCUCUGUUUGAGUCCUAAAAGUUUUUCCUCUAUUCUGAUGUUGCAGCCUCCAAAGUUACCAGAAACUUGCAUUGAGGAGCACCUAUUAAGAGUUUUAUAGCUGAUUUUAAAACCACCUUCUAAAGAGGACCAAAACAACAAUUGUCCAUGGAUGACAAAAAAUGUUAGAGCAGUCAUAGUCAAAGACACAAUUGAGAAGAAAACUUGUUACCUCUGUGGCAUACAAUAAUUUAACAUAAUUAUAAUUAUUACUGAUAACAUACACUAAGUCAUAUCAGAAUUGUAGGAGUUUUUCAUAAUUUUGGAACACAUCAAUAAUAUAUUUAUACAAAUACAGCCCAAAGAAAACCAAACAGCAUUUCAUAUUUGACAAUGUUAACUGUAUAAUUUUUAUACCAAAAAACCCCCAUAUAUAUCAUUUUUGGACUUUAGGGAACUUUAUACCUUAAAGGAUUAAUUAUGUCAGAAAAAGACAUAAUUUAUAAUUUCACUUUGGAAAGUUUGUCAAAUAUCAAAGGUUUAAAACACUCAAUAUUACAAAAUGGGAUUAGAGGUCAUUGUAAAAUAUGUUAUUCAUUUAACUGAAGUGAUAACUUAAGGAUUUCAAAAAAGGGUGAAAACCUUCAUUCUUUCAGAGAGGAGACUUAAUUUUCCAAAUGAUAAGCCCUAAUAAAAACAGCAUGAAGCCAAUUAAAUUUGUUUUUCAAAAUUCUAUAAACAAUCUAUAAAAUUUUAAUGUUAAUCAUAAGAUAUAACUUCCAUAAACUUUUUAUAACAUUUAUAACCUUUAUUAGGGAGUCAGUUAAUGCUUUAAGAAAACCUUGUUAAUCUGACACAGGGGCCCAUGUGCUGGUCUUGCAUUUGUGUGCCUUUGACAUUAAAGGUUAAUUUAUAGAGAAACUGAACUAUUUUAUCUCUCAAAAUCAGCCCAUACAAUCUCACAUGCCCAUCUCUUCCUUGAUAGUCCCUUGGCCUUGAGGAGUUGAAUAGCUUUAAUUUCUGUGUCUCAGGAAUGCAGUUUAUUUUGAUUGGCAUCUUUUACCAGGCCUGAAGAUGAGGCUUUAAUUACUGUCAGUGUUUAAGAUUUAGCAGGACUUGGUGUCCUUUUUAGACCCAGGAGUCAAGGACUUAUAAAUCAAUGUCACAAGGACUCUAAAAGCACAUACAGAAAGAUAUAUGGAUGUAAUAACUUUAAUUUAAAAAAUUGUUUUAAUCUCAGUUUUUUCCUAAGCAAACCAAAACUUAAUAAUAAUGGCAUAGGAAUUGUUUCAAUAAACCAUAAAAUUUGUUAGGCCAGUUACCAAAAGGCAAAAGAAAACACCUUCUGCACUGCACAGAAUAUUACAUUGGAAGAAAACAUUUUGUUUAGACCUUUAAGAAAAUAUUGUUAGCAUCAGACCUCAACAAACAGAACUUGAAAAAAACUUAGAUGAGCUGAAAAUGAGUUGAAUGAGGGCAUUACUAUUUCAGAAGGGAAGAAAACAAAAAAAUGGUGAGAUGCAGUAAAAGUUGAACUUUGGGUUAAAAAAAUUAAAAUAUCUUAUAUUCUAUUGAGUAAAUCAAUCCCUUAGGAAAAUUUCAUUGUUCUAGGCAAUUAUUUAAUGUAUAAGUGUUUUUUUUUCAUCAAGCCCAAUCUCUAGAAAGAUUACUGUAAUUUCCUUUUAAUUAUAGACAACUUGAUCAUAUAAAAGGUUUUUUUUUUUUUUUUUUUGGACAAGAGUCUUGCUCUGUCGCCCAGGCUGAAGUAGUUCAGUGAUGUGAUCUCAUUUCACUGCAACUGCAACAUCUGCCUCCCAGGUUCAAGUGAUUCUCCUGCCUCAGCCUCCCGAAUGGGUGGGAUUACAGGCAUGCAUCACCAUACCUGGCUAAUUUUUGUAUUUUUAGUAGAGAUGGGGUUUUGCCAUGUUGGCCAGGCUGGUCUCCAGCUCCUGACCUCAGAUGAUCUGCCCACCUUGGCCUCCCAGAGUGCUGGGAUUACAGGCAUGAGCCACUGUGCCUGGCCUCUUUUUUUUUUUCUUUUCUUUGUUUUAAAAUAAAUCCUCUUAUUGUGACUUACACAGAGUGUUCAUGACUUGCACUUUCUGGUGUGUUCUAAACAUCCCUCUUUAAAUUUUUUUUUUUUUGAGAUGGAGUCUCACUCUGUCGCCCAGGCUGGAGUGCAAUGGUGUGAUCUCGGCUCCCUGCAACCUCUGCCUCCCGGGUUCAAGCGAUUCUCCUGCCUCAGCCCCCCCCGAGCAGCUGGGACUACAGGCACGUACCACCACGCCCAGCUAAUUUUUGUAUUUGAGUAGAGACGGGGUUUCAUCAUGUUGACCAGGAUGGUCUCGAUCUCUUGACCUCAUGAUCUGCCCACCUCGGCCUCCCAAAGUGCUGGGAUUACAGGCGUGAGCCACAGUGCCCGGCCUAAACAUCCCUCUUUCUUAAACAACCAGUCAUUUUAUUCUAGGACUAAAUCUACCAUACAGGAUUCUUUCUCAUAUAAAAUGAUUUCUUUUUAUUUAUUUAUUUAACCAAAAACAACCCUCUUUAUUUUGAUAACUUUCUUUACAUCUCUCUUAUUUCUUGGUCCCUUUUACCUCAUUUUAUAUGUAACCUUUAAAUAAACUUUGAAUUAGACAAAAAUUGUUCACCAUUUUUAAAAAGGACACUUUUUUUUCUAGCAAGAAUGUUUUCCUUCAAUUAUCUUAAUUGGAAAAUACUCAAAUAAUGAAAUAUCUAUUAUUUAAUUUAAUAUAACUUUAGACUCUAAAUUAUGACAAAUUUGUCAACAAGUAUUUAUCCCAUUACAUUUACAUAUUUUAUUUUAAUUGUUUACCUAGAUUAUUUAUGGAAACUGUGAUCAUUAUUGUUUAAAGUUAUGAAACCGCCAUUGCAAAAUUAUAACUGAAGCAGUGAAAAAGUUCUAACCUAACUGACUCCAUUUUGCUUCUUAACUCCAAGCUGUUCUUGUUCAUUCCUGGGCAUAGGCCAAACUAACUUUGGGAGAAACUUAUAGUUUAGCUUUGAAGCAAAGACAAUAACUGUCCUUUCCCCAACAAACCUCCUUACUGUUUGUGGACUCAAUUGUCUGAAGCCACAAGAUUAGAAGUUAUGGUAAUUUUACUGAAUAAUUCAAGAUGUAGCUAUUUUGAUUAAAUGAAUAUCAAUGUCUUAUUUAUUAAAAAUUACAUAAGCAAAGAUUAUUCUGUUUUGGGCUGGGUUUACAGUUUUGUAGCCCCUAUACCAAAUUUUGACAGCAAAUAGUAUUUGUCAGGGAUAAGUAUGAAAUUGCUUGAUUAGUAAAUGCAAACAAAAAUGUAUGCUGGCAAUUCUUAAGACAUUUCUAAUAUUACUUUACCAACAAUCUUAAAACAAACUUAUUUAUUAAAGAUUUAAAUUGUUAUGUAAACUUGAAAAA